rnacentral:lncRNA from 1 species
CCCAGUACAUAACAACAACAACAACAACAUGAAUUCCUGCAAUACCCACGAAUAGCAACAGUUAAGCAAAAAGAUAUGGAAUGGUUAACAUCACAUCCCUAAUACAACAAAAUUUCCAAAACUGAUUUAAUAAUUCAAAAAAAAAUGUUGGCAAUUGAAAUUUAGAAGCUUAGGCAAAAGUAAAUAAUGGUUUCAAAAAAGAAAUAUUUGCACAUGAUUAAAGGCAAAAGUAGAUAAAUUAAUAAAUGGCUAUCAAAUCUAGAUCUGAAACCAAAAACCAAACUAAAUCAUAAAUCUCUGGAUACAUGUAUAUACUCUAUAAGAAGUACAUUAUCAGUAGUCACAAAUCGACUAGCUGAUAAGAGAAAACUACUCUCUUCUCUUCAGAACUUGAGUGCAGAUUCGAAGAGGAAAGCGACGAACGUGAGAGCACAGCCGACGACGAACGACGGAGAAACAGAUCCGGCCGAAGACGUAGGGCUCGGAGCUGGAGCAUCGGAUGCUAUGGGGGUAAUUUGGAAUUGGGGAGUAAUUGAAAGAAUAAUCAGCUGUUGUCUAGUAUAUAGUUGGUGUUGAUUCCAGUUUGUAGAUUGUAUUAUUUUGCAUAUUGUAGUCAAUAAGGUUUCUACAAUUUAAAAAACUGAUUUGUCUUGGACUUUAAAAAACUGAUUUGGCUUGGACUUGCU